CUCUCUCUUCCCUCACGGCUUUCUCUCUCUCCCUCUCGAACCAUACGGACAAGCAUAGAACCUCCCAUUUCUUCACGGAUCGAAGGUUCUAAGGGAAUUUCAAGCUCACAGUGAGCUUAAGGAAGUCCUCACGAGCUUCGGGGUACGCCGUUGGUAGGUUUUGGACGUCGGAGGACGGAGAACGGAACGUUUCAAUUUUGGCCGGAACUCUUGAAGCUUUUUCCGGUGAAUCCCCGGCGAGUUAGGGGUCGAGGCAGGUGAUACCUAUCCCGAGGACGAGCGCAUCCAGGGAUGUCAC